rnacentral:rRNA from 1 species
GUCCUUUAGAAUUUAAUUUAAGGUCUGACCUGCCCACUGAAAAUUUUUUAAAUGGCCGCAGUAAUUUGACUGUGCAAAGGUAGCAUAAUCAUUAGUUUUUUAAUUGAAAGCUUGUAUGAAGGGUUGGACGAGGUAAAAUCUGUCUCUAAUAAAUUUAAUUUAGAAUUUAACUUUUAAGUUAAAAGGCUUAAAUAAUAUUAAAAGACGAGAAGACCCUAUAGAUCUUUAUAAUUAAAAUAUUAAAUUUAAUUAGGAAUUUUUAAAAUUUUAUUUAUUUAAUUAUUUUAUUGGGGUAAUAUAAAGAUUUAAUUAAUUCUUUUUUUUUAUUUACAUAGAUUUAUGAAUUUAUGAUCCAGUUGUAUUGAUUAUAAGAUUAAGUUACCUUAGGGAUAACAGCGUAAUUUUUUUAGAGAGUUCUUAUCGAUAAAAAAGUUUGCGACCUCGAUGUUGGAUUAAAGAUUAGUUCAGGUGUAGAAGUUUGAAAAUUUUGGUCUGUUCGACCAUUAAAUCUUUACAUGAUCUGAGUUCAGACCGGUGUAAGCCAGGUCGGUUUCUAUCUUUAAUAAAAUAUAAUAUUUUAGUACGAAAGGACCAAUUAUUUAAUACAAAGUAUUUAAAUUUUGAUUAUUAUUAA